rnacentral:rRNA from 1 species
GACGAACGCUGGCGGCGUGCUUAACACAUGCAAGUCGAACGGAAAGGCCCUGCUUGCAGGGUACUCGAGUGGCGAACGGGUGAGUAACACGUGGGUGAUCUGCCCUGCACUUCGGGAUAAGCCUGGGAAACUGGGUCUAAUACCGGAUAGGAGCCAUUUUUAGUGUGAUGGUUGGAAAGUUUUUUCGGUGUAGGAUGAGCUCGCGGCCUAUCAGCUUGUUGGUGGGGUAAUGGCCUACCAAGGCGGCGACGGGUAGCCGGCCUGAGAGGGUGGACGGUCACAUUGGGACUGAGAUACGGCCCAGACUCCUACGGGAGGCAGCAGUGGGGAAUAUUGCACAAUGGGCGCAAGCCUGAUGCAGCGACGCCGCGUGGGGGAUGACGGCCUUCGGGUUGUAAACUCCUUUCGCUAGGGACGAAGCUUUUUGUGACGGUACCUAGAUAAGAAGCACCGGCUAACUACGUG